AACGCUAGCUACAGGCUUAACACAUGCAAGUCGAGGGGCAGCAUGAUUGAAGCUUGCUUCAAUCGAUGGCGACCGGCGCACGGGUGAGUAACACGUAUCCAACCUGCCGAUAACUCGGGGAUAGCCUUUCGAAAGAAAGAUUAAUACCCGAUAGCAUAGUUUUUCCGCAUGGUUUCACUAUUAAAGAAUUUCGGUUAUCGAUGGGGAUGCGUUCCAUUAGAUAGUUGGCGGGGUAACGGCCCACCAAGUCAACGAUGGAUAGGGGUUCUGAGAGGAAGGUCCCCCACAUUGGAACUGAGACACGGUCCAAACUCCUACGGGAGGCAGCAGUGAGGAAUAUUGGUCAAUGGACGAGAGUCUGAACCAGCCAAGUAGCGUGAAGGAUGACUGCCCUAUGGGUUGUAAACUUCUUUUAUACGGGAAUAAAGUGGAGUAUGCAUACUCCUUUGUAUGUACCGUAUGAAUAAGGAUCGGCUAACUCCGUGCCAGCAGCCGCGGUAAUACGGAGGAUCCGAGCGUUAUCCGGAUUUAUUGGGUUUAAAGGGAGCGUAGGCGGGUGCUUAAGUCAGUUGUGAAAGUUUGCGGCUCAACCGUAAAAUUGCAGUUGGUACUGGGCGCCUUGAGUACAGUAGAGGCAGGCGGAAUUCGUGGUGUAGCGGUGAAAUGCUUAGAUAUCACGAAGAACUCCGAUUG
rnacentral:rRNA from 1 species